rnacentral:misc_RNA from 1 species
AAGUCGUAACAAGGUUUCCGUAGGUGAACCUGCGGAAGGAUCAUUAAAUGAAGCAACCUAGGAGCCUGAGAUAUGGCCACCGGGCACACCUUCCACCCUUUGUUUAUUACACUUUGUUGCUUUGGCAGGCCUGCCUUUGGGCUGCUGGCUCCGGCCGGCGAGCGCCUGCCAGAGGACCCAAACUCUGUUUGUCUGUAACGUCUGAGUACUAUAUAAUAGUUAAAACUUUCAACAACGGAUCUCUUGGUUCUG